GUAGGUGAACCUGCGGAAGGAUCAUUAACACGUAUCCAACGUUAAACAACCCUGUGAACCUUGAACGUGCUCUCGUACACGCUCUAGCAGCAAUCCCUGGUAAAUCAUUGUUGACCAGCUAUUGAGUCUGGGACUUCUGCUAGAAAACCAUACGAUACGAGCGCCAGAGUAAGUGCGGCCUGAGUGGUUGCGCAAGGAUGGCGCAGUAAACGAUCGCUGUAGGCCCACACGGCCGGCGACCGGGCCUCUGUGCUUCGGCACCUAUGACACCAGUUUUCUGACCCGGUGCGCUGUAACAACCGCACCACAAACUCGAACAACUGUUAACAAUGGAUAUCUUGGUUCUU
rnacentral:misc_RNA from 1 species